UUGAAUUUGAAUUAAAAGAUUGUUGCUGGCCUUUAGGCAUGUGCACAUCUUAUUACCCAUCUCACACCUGUGCACCUAUUGUAGAUUCCUAGUGGAUCUAUGUUUUUAUUACACUAUAUUGUAUGUCCUAUGUAUAAAAUAUUAUUA
rnacentral:misc_RNA from 1 species